rnacentral:rRNA from 1 species
AAUAUUGGACAAUGGGGGCAACCCUGAUCCAGCCAUGCCGCGUGUGUGAAGAAGGUCCUCGGAUUGUAAAGCACUUUAAGUUGGGAGGAAGGGCUUUAGGUUAAUACCCUGAAGUUGUGACGACACCAACAGCAUAAGCACCGGCGAACUCGGUUCCAGCAGCCGCGGUAAUACAGAGGGUGCAAGCGUUAAUCGGAAUUACUGGGCGUAAAGCGAGCGUAGGUGGUUCAGUAAGAUGGGUGUGAAAUCCCCGGGCUUAACCUGGGAACUGCUUUCAUAACUGCUGAGCUAGAGUACGGUAGAGGGUAGUGGAAUUUCCUGUGUAGCGGUGAAAUGCGUAGAUAUAGGAAGGAACACCAGUGGCGAAGGCGACUACCUGGACUGAUACUGACACUGAGGUGCGAAAGCGUGGGGAGCAAAC